UCAGGAUGAACGCUGGCGGCGUGCUUAACACAUGCAAGUCGAACGAGGGUUGCUGGUUGAAAUUUCGGAUGGAACCGGUAAUUCCUAGUGGCGGACGGGUGAGUAACGCGUGGGGAACCUGCCCCGCUCCGGGGGAUACCAGCUGGAAACGGCUGUUAAUACCGCAUAAGCGCACAGUAUUGCAUGAUACAGUGUGAAAAAACUCCGGUGGAACGGGAUGGCCCCGCGUCUGAUUAGCCAGUUGGCAGGGUAACGGCCUACCAAAGCGACGAUCAGUAGCCGGCCUGAGAGGGCGACCGGCCACAUUGGGACUGAGACACGGCCCAAACUCCUACGGGAGGCAGCAGUGGGGAAUAUUGCACAAUGGGGGAAACCCUGAUGCAGCGACGCCGCGUGAGUGAGGAAGUAUUUCGGUAUGUAAAGCUCUAUCAGCAGGGAAGAAGAUGACGGUACCUGCACAAGAAGCCCCGGCUAACUACGUGCCAGCCGCUGC
rnacentral:rRNA from 1 species